rnacentral:rRNA from 1 species
GGCUUAAUUCCGGAUAACGCGAUAUUAUGCCGGAAUGCUUUAUGCGUAAAAUGGAUUCGUCUGCCCAAGGAUGGGUCUGCGGCCUAUCAGGUAGUAGUGGGUGUAAUGUACCUACUAGCCAACAACGGGUACGGGUUGUGAGAGCAAGAGCCCGGAGAUGGAUUCUGAGACAUGAAUCCAGGCCCUACGGGGCGCAGCAGGCGCGAAAACUUUACAAUGCGGGAAACCGUGAUAAGGGGACACCGAGUGCUAGCAUCAUAUGCUGGCUGUCCAGGUGUGUAAACUACACCUGUUAGCAAGGGCCGGGCAAGACCGGUGCCAGCCGCCGCGGUAACACCGGCGGCCCGAGUGGUGAUCGUGAUUAUUGGGUCUAAAGGGUCCGUAGCCGGUUUGGUCAGUCCUCCGGGAAAUCUGAUAGCUCAACUAUUAGGCUUUCGGGGGAUACUGCCAGGCUUGGAACCGGGAGAGGUAAGAGGUACUACAGGGGUAGGAGUGAAAUCUUGUAAUCCCUGUGGGACCACCUGUGGCGAAGGCGUCUUACCAGAACGGGUUCGACGGUGAGGGACGAAAGCUGGGGGCACGAACCGGAUUAGAUACCCGGGUAGUCCCAGCCGUAAACGAUGCACGUUAGGUGUCAGGCAUGGCCAGACCGUGUCUGGUGCCGAAGGGAAGCCGUGAAACGUGCCGCCUGGGAAGUACGGUCGCAAGGCUGAAACUUAAAGGAAUUGGCGGGGGAGCACAA